GAUGAACGCUAGCUACAGGCUUAACACAUGCAAGUCGAGGGGCAGCGGGAUUGAAGCUUGCUUCAAUUGCCGGCGACCGGCGCACGGGUGAGUAACGCGUAUCCAACCUUCCGUACACUCAGGGAUAGCCUUUCGAAAGAAAGAUUAAUACCUGAUGGUAUCUUAAGCACACAUGUAAUUAAGAUUAAAGAUUUAUCGGUGUACGAUGGGGAUGCGUUCCAUUAGGUAGUAGGCGGGGUAACGGCCCACCUAGCCAACGAUGGAUAGGGGUUCUGAGAGGAAGGUCCCCCCACAUUGGAACUGAGACACGGUCCAAACUCCUACGGGAGGCAGCAGUGAGGAAUAUUGGUCAAUGGACGAGAGUCUGAACCAGCCAAGUAGCGUGCAGGAUGACGGCCCUAUGGGGUUGUAAACUGCUUUUANAAGGGAAUAAAGUGAGUCUCGUGAGACUUUUUGCAUGUACCUUAUGAAUAAGGA
rnacentral:rRNA from 1 species